rnacentral:sRNA from 1 species
AAUAAUGCCUCAUCAAUGGACUCUGUCUUUUGUGUACGUGAACUGUACUGUAAUUUGUUAUCUGACAUAUGUUUUUUAUCAAUUUUAUCUAAGUGUAAAUUUUGACAGUAAAUAAUAUGUUUUACAUAUCUAAGCUCCUGAAAUUUCUGGUAUCUUUCGGUGCUAGGACGGAGAUGUCCAUUACAAUUGUAGCCAAUGUGUCACAUAGUGUUGUUUUUUUUAUUUCUUUUUGAUUUUUACACAAGAAAUCUUUUAUGUUGUAAUAAACAUUAUAUUCAAAGGGGAAUGACUCAAAAUGUGUAUUUUUAGUCAGGAUGAAAAAACAGUUAUUCCCCCUUGUAUAAUUUUCCUAAGAUGAAGUUUUUAAUUCAUUAAGUUUGACCUAUGCAUUUGUAACAAUUGGUGCAUCAUAUAUUGCUUCUUGUGCUCAAAAGGUAGGUCACAAUGACCCAAUUAGAAUUAUGGUAGUUUAGGGUGAAACGAUUUUAGAACAUAUUUAUUUGAGAAAAAAACCCAAACAGUUGUGUUUUAGAAAUGAUGUACCAUUAAUUAUACCAGAAGUCAUGUACUCAUGUAUAUAUCAAUGUGAAAGUAGGUCAUGAUGACCUGAAUUUGUAUUUAGCAUGUUGUUAUUUCUAUGUGUUUGUAAAUGGUGUUUAAGCUCAUUUCUCGCUCUCUGUAUCUCUGUUGACCAGAUAGAUAGGACAACUCAUGUUAAUGUCAUUUAUUUGGAGAAAUAUUGUACGUAAGUUUAAGCGUUAUUAUGGUUUUUUUUGUUUACGGACACAAUGAAGUAACUUAUAUACAUUGUUUUUGUUGUUUAUUUUUAUUGUGUUUACGCUUACCAUGAAAAACAUAAUACUUGUAUACAAAUGAUGUUUGGGGAAAUGUAGCGAGCUGUAGAUAAAAGUCAAUAAACUUAAAGUGACAUGUC